GACGUAGGGCGCGAGCGUUGUCCGGAUUUAUUGGGCGUAAAGAGCUCGUAGGCGGCUUGUCGCGUCGAAUGUGAAAUCCCGUGGCUCAACUGCGGGUCUGCACUCGAUACGGGCAGGCUAGAGUUCGGUAGGGGAGACUGGAAUUCCUGGUGUAGCGGUGAAAUGCGCAGAUAUCAGGAGGAACACCGGUGGCGAAGGCGGGUCUCUGGGCUGAUACUGACGGCUGAGGCACGAAGGCCAGGGGAGCAAACGGG
rnacentral:rRNA from 1 species